GAAGAAAACCGUGCACGCCGCUUAGGGGAUAACUAGGCUCAGCUGGCGACGAAGGGCGUGGCAAGCUGCGAUAAGCCUUGGUGAGACGCAUGCGGUCUUUGAGCCAAGGGUUCCUGAAUCGAUCUGUAAGGAUUGCGUACCCCGGGAAUUGAAGCAUCUUAGUACCGGGUGGAAGAGAAAUCAAUAGAGAUGCUGUUAGUAGCAGCGAGCGAAGACAGCAUAGAGCAAACCGAAUCCUCUGUAGUAAUGCAGGGGAGAUGUGGUGUGGCUGGUUAACAUCCAAAGAGCGAAGCUGAAGGGGGCUGGAACGCCCUGCCAUAGAGCAUGAUAGCUGCGUAGGCGAAGGCUUGAUGGAUGAUUUCCGGGUUCCAAGAGUAUUGUGCAUCAGUUUUUGCGCAAGAAGAUUGGGAGUCAUUAACUUCCAACCCUAAAUACUGAGCUGAGACCGAUAGAAAACUAGUACUGUGAAGGAAAGUUGAAAAGCAUCCCUGACGGGAGUUUAAAAGCGCUUGAAACUAAGCGGUUACAAAACAGAUUUCUGCCUGGAAGAAACGAAGCUUUCUGAAGAGAGCAAAAGAAAUUUUGCAAUCGAAGAAAGCUGAUCAGGGUGGAAUCGUUCGUCUUGAAGCACGAGCAAGGGAGUUUAACGCAGUGGCAAGGUUAAUUCCAUCAUGGAAGAAGCCGUAGGGAAGCCGAGUCAGCGCAUUUCCGAAAGGAUUGAGGCUGAGAGCUUAAACGCUUUAGUCACUGCGUUCAGACCUGAAACCAGUGCGAUCUACGCCUUGGCAAGAUGAAGCCAUUCAUCAGAAUGGUGGAAGUCUGCAACCGAUUCUAGUCUAUCUGUUCGGGUGACUUGGGCGUAGGCGUAAUAUGCGAUUCGCGCCUGGUAAUAGCAGGCUCCUCCUGAAAUAGGUCUUAGCCUAGCCUGGCCGGAGCAUGCCAGCAGGGUAGAGAUACUGAUUAGAAAGUACUGGGCCGAGAGGCCUAGCUUUCUUGUCAAACUCCGAAUCUGCUGGCUGCUGAGAAAGCCAGAGUAGGGGCGCCGGGGUAAGCUUGGUGUCCAAGAGGGGAACAACCCAAUCUUGGGUUAAGGCCCAAAAAUGCUGGUUA
rnacentral:rRNA from 1 species